rnacentral:rRNA from 1 species
AGAGUUUGAUCAUGGCUCAGGAUGAACGCUGGCGGCGUGCUUAACACAUGCAAGUCGAACGCUGAAGCUCCCAGCUUGCUGGGGGUGGAUGAGUGGCGAACGGGUGAGUAUCACGUGAGUAACCUGCCCUUAACUCUGGGAUAAGCCCGGGAAACUGGGUCUAAUACUGGAUAGGACUGGCCAUCGCAUGGUGGUUGGUUGAAAGUUUGUAACGGUUUUGGAUGGACUCGCGGCCUAUCAGCUUGUUGGUGGGGUAAUGGCCUACCAAGGCUUUGACGGGUAGCCGGCCUGAGAGGGUGACCGGCCACACUGGGACUGAGACACGGCCCAGACUCCUACGGGAGGCAGCAGUGGGGGAUAUUGCACAAUGGGGGAAACCCUGAUGCAGCGACGCCGCGUGAGGGAUGACGGCCUUCGGGUUGUAAACCUCUUUCAGUUGGGAAGAAGCCCUUCGGGGUGACGGUACCUUCAGAAGAAGCACCGGCUAACUACGUGCCAGCAGCCGCGGUAAUACGUAGGGUGCGAGCGUUAUCCGGAAUUAUUGGGCGUAAAGAGCUCGUAGGCGGUUUGUCACGUCUGCUGUGAAAGCCUCAGGCUUAACCUGGGGUGUGCAGUGGGUACGGGCAGGCUGGAGUGCAGUAGGGGAGACUGGAAUUCCUGGUGUAGCGGUGAAAUGCGCAGAUAUCAGGAGGAACACCGAUGGCGAAGGCAGGUCUCUGGGCUGUUACUGACGCUGAGGAGCGAAAGCAUGGGGAGCGAACAGGAUUAGAUACCCUGGUAGUCC